AGUCGAGCGGAGAAUGCGGAUAUGUUUACAUAGAAGCGUUCUUAGCGGCGGACGGGUGAGUAACACGUGGGUAACCUGCCUCAAAGUGGGGGAUAGCCUUCCGAAAGGAAGAUUAAUACCGCAUAAGCCUACAGUAUCGCAUGGUACAGCAGGAAAAGGAGCAAUCCGCUUUGAGAUGGACCCGCGGCGCAUUAGCUAGUUGGUGAGGUAACGGCUCACCAAGGCGACGAUGCGUAGCCGACCUGAGAGGGUGAUCGGCCACAUUGGAACUGAGACACGGUCCAGACUCCUACGGGAGGCAGCAGUGGGGAAUAUUGCACAAUGGGCGAAAGCCUGAUGCAGCAACGCCGCGUGAGUGAUGAAGGCCUUCGGGUCGUAAAGCUCUUUGAUCAGGGAUGAUAAUGACAGUACCUGAAAAACAAGCCACGGCUAACUACGUGCCAGCAGCCGCGGUAAUACGUAGGUGGCGAGCGUUGUCCGGAAUUACUGGGCGUAAAGGAUGCGUAGGUGGAUAUUUAAGUGGGAUGUGAAAUCCCCGGGCUCAACCCGGGAACUGCAUUCCAAACUGGGUAUCUAGAGUGCAGGAGAGGAAAGCGGAAUUCCUAGUGUAGCGGUGAAAUGCGUAGAUAUUAGGAGGAACACCAGUGGCGAAGGCGGCUUUCUGGACUGUAACUGACACUGAGGCAUGAAAGCGUGGGUAGCAAACAGGAUUAGAUACCCUGGUAGUCCACGCCGUAAACGAUGGGUACUAGGUGUAGGAAGUAUCGACCCCUUCUGUGCCGUCGUUAACACAAUAAGUACCCCGCCUGGGGAAUACGGGCGCAAGAAUUAAACUCAAAGGAAUGGAAGGGGGGGCCCGCACAAGCCGCGGAACAUGGGGUUUAUUUCGAAACAACGCGAAAAACCUUCCCUAAACUGGACUUCUCCUUGAAUUCCCCUUAACCCGGGAAAGCCCCUUCGGGGCGGGAAAAAAGGGGG
rnacentral:rRNA from 1 species